UACGUAGGUGGCAAGCGUUGUCCGGAUUUACUGGGCGUAAAGAGCGCGCAGGCGGUCGAUUUAGUCGCGUGUGAAAGCCCCCGGCUCAACUGGGGAGGGUCACGCGAUACUGAUCGACUCGAAGGCAGGAGAGGGUAGUGGAAUUCCCGGUGUAGUGGUGAAAUGCGUAGAUAUCGGGAGGAACACCAGUGGCGAAGGCGGCGAUCUGGACGAUUACUGACACUGAGGCGCGAAAGCGUGGGGAGCAAACAGG
rnacentral:rRNA from 1 species